UACGUAGGGAGCAAGCGUUGUCCGGAAUUAUUGGGCGUAAAGCGCGCGCAGGCGGCCGAUUAAGUCUGGUGUUUAACCCCGGGGCUCAACCCCGGGUCGCACUGGAAACUGGUUGGCUUGAGUACAGAAGAGGAAAGUGGAAUUCCACGUGUAGCGGUGAAAUGCGUAGAGAUGUGGAGGAACACCAGUGGCGAAGGCGACUUUCUGGGCUGUAACUGACGCUGAGGCGCGAAAGCGUGGGGAGCAAACAGG
rnacentral:rRNA from 1 species